rnacentral:rRNA from 1 species
UACAGAGGUCUCAAGCGUUGUUCGGAUUCAUUGGGCGUAAAGGGUGCGUAGGCGGCGCGGUAAGUCGGGGGUGAAAUCUUGGAGCUUAACUCCGAAACUGCAUUCGAUACUGCCGUGCUUGAGGACUGGAGAGGGGACUGGAAUUUACGGUGUAGCGGUGAAAUGCGUAGAUAUCGUAAGGAAGACCAGUGGCGAAGGCGGGUCUCUGGACAGUUCCUGACGCUGAGGCACGAAGGCCAGGGGAGCAAACGGG